rnacentral:rRNA from 1 species
CCAUCCACGUGUGUGCAAGAWGGCUUAGGCUGUAAAGCACUUUCAGUUGUGAGGAAGUAUGUAGUGUAAUAACUGCUAKRUGUGACGUUAGCGAMGAGAAGAAGCACCGGCUWACUCCGUGCCAGCAGCCGCGGUAAUACGGAGGGUCCGAGCGUUAAUCGGAAUUACURGGCGUAAAGCGCGCGYAGGYDGGUMUGUUAAGUUAGAUGUGAAAGCCGCUGACGCUCAACGUUGGAASUYYAUCUARUACUAGCUAGACUAGAAGUAUUAGUAGAGGGKAGUGGAAUUUCAURGUGUAGCAGGUGAAAUGCGUAGAGAUAUGGAAGGAACAUCAAGUGRCGAAGGCRACUACCUGRCAUARUACUGACGACUCAUGUCGAAAGCGUCGGUAGCRAACAGGAUACGAUACCUGGUAGUCCACACCGUAAACGAUGUCCCUAGCYGUUGUAGACCUAAUCCCUGAGUACU